UACAGAGGUCUCAAGCGUUGUUCGGAUUCAUUGGGCGUAAAGGGUGCGUAGGUGGCGCGGUAAGUCGGGUGUGAAAUCUCGGAGCUUAACUCCGAAAUUGCAUUCGAUACUGCCGUGCUCGAGGACUGGAGAGGAGACUGGAAUUCAUGGUGUAGCAGUGAAAUGCGUAGAUAUCGUAAGGAAGACCAGUGGCGAAGGCGGGUCUCUGGACAGUUCCUGACGCUGAGGCACGAAGGCCAGGGGAGCAAACGGG
rnacentral:rRNA from 1 species